rnacentral:tmRNA from 1 species
GGGGGCGAUCGGCUUCGACGGGGUUUGGAGGUCAGGGAGUGCAUGCCGAGGUCCCAUUGGGCUCGUUAAACAAAUGGGAAAAACAUAGUUGCUAACACACCGUUAGCUCUCGCUGCCUAAGUGCAGUGACAUCAACCUUCCUUUGUCUGCGCGGGGGGAAGAUGCCAGAUAGCAGGCUGGCUCGCUUCAGUGCUUCAGGGGAGCGGGUAAGAUUUAUGAGGCUAGCAGAUGAUUCAACCUGUCUCUAGGUGGGAUUUAAUGCGAAUUUAAAAAGUAGAGACUAAGCAUGUAGUGGUCUUUGACUGAAUUUCUUCGGACGCGGGUUCGAUUCCCGCCGCCUCCACCA